CCCGCUUGCUCCCGCCAGAGCGUUUUUUCGCGUCGGAUCAGCCCCGAUCGGGCGCCAUCUUCCCCCCCGCCGCGGGCCUCCUCCCCGGUGAGGAAACCCGAGGGCGGGCCGCGCCUCCUGCUCGGGGCCAGUUUGUAGAACCUGCGGUCUGCGCUCCAGAACGUUGGCUGAGGCCUGGGUUCGAAUUCCACCUGUGCCCCAGUCUGGCUGCUUAGCAAGCUCUAGCCAGGCUUUUUGCUUCUCUGAGCCUCAGUUCCCCUCUCUGCCAAGCGGAGUUAAUAACAGUACUUAAUCUCCUAGAGUUGUGGAAAGGAUUAAAUGGGAUAAUGAUGCAAAUAAAACGCUUACAUAGCCCAGGUCCUGACCCCAUUAUAAGCUCUUAAAUGACAGUUGUUGCUGUUAUCAUCCAGGUUUAUCAUCUGUGUGAUGCGGUCAUAAGAACUGUGAGAAUUUAGAUCCUAGGCCAACCCCUCCUUUUCCUGUUACCUUUUCUGUGUCUUCUCUCCACAUAGAUUUAUUUCUGUUUACAGAGCAUCCCUAUGUAUAGAUUUCUGCUGACAGGGAGGGGUAAGUCUGGAAGAUGAAGAGAUGCCUCAGCCAUGUCCCUGUCCUCAUGGAGUCAAUUGUUUGUGAGAGGCACUAGUAAUACAAAUGCAGCGUGGCUGGGGAGACCUGUAAACAGACUUUACAGCCAGUGCGUGGGAGACCAAGGAGUGGAGCAACCAACUCCGCCAUGGAGAAGUUGUGUGAAAGCUUCACAUUUGACCUAGGUUGGAAAGGAGGAAUAAGUUUACAGAUAGAAAGACCAGUGUGUCCAGUGAUUCAGAAGUGGUGCAGGCAAUGGUGUAUCAGUGUACAUGGGAGAGGUAGGGGGGAGUGGCAAGAGAGAGCAGGAAGGGGUAGAUUGGGACUAGUUUAUGAAAGAUGUUGAAUACACUUCAGAAAAAUCUCUGCUGCCAUGUGAAGAAUGGAUUAGAGAGGAGCAACGCUGGGUAGGAAAACCAGUGGAGAGGCUGUUAUACAGUCCAGGGAGAUAUGACUGAACUAGUAACUGGAGCCCUGGUGGCACAGUGGUUAAAGCGUUUGACUGUUAACCUAAAGGUCUGCAGUUGGAACCCACCAGCCGCUCCGCGCAAGAAAUUUGUGGCAGUCUGCUUCUUUAAAGAUUUACAGUCUUGGAAACUAUGGGGCAGUUCUACUCCGUCCUAUAGGAUUGCUGUGAGUCGGAAUCGACUCCACCGCAGUGGAUUUGGAUUUGGUUUAAACUAGUAACUGUGGGAAUGGGGAAAAGAUUUGUAUUUGGAGGUAGAGCAGAAAGGAGUGUGGAUCUGGAUAGUUAAGAAUAAGGAGAAGUAAAGGAGAACAUAGUUUUUCUAGUUGGAAGACCAGGUAGAUCAGAAUGCCAUGAACUGAAUUAGGAAAUUAGGGACUCCCUUUCCCAUUGCCGUUGAGUUGAUUCUGACUCACAGCAACCCUACAGGACAAAGUAGAACCGCCCCAUAGGGUUUCCAAAGCAUUGCCUUUACAGAAGCAGACUGCCACGUAUUUCUCCUGCAGAGUGGCUGGUGGGUUCAAACCGCCAACCUUUCAGUUAGCCAAGCGCUUAACCACUUUGCCACCAGGGUUCCUUCAACACAAAAUAAUUGGUAAGCAAAGUAAGGUAUGUGUUAAAGGGAGAUAGGAGUAUUUCUAGAAAUAAGUUCUGUAGAAGUUCAGAGUAGAUGAUGACCCUUGGUGAUACUCUCUGUGAAGGCGGUGAGAUGGGAUUGUGCUAGAUGGUAUUGUCAGGUAGGUAGAAUUUCACGAGGCAGAGACAGUUGGUGAGGUGGGCGGUUCAGAGAGGCUGGAGAGGAUGAAGCCUAUUCCGAAGUAGCAAAGCCCCAGUGAUACUGGGGCUGAAGUGUGGAGAACAGAUCACCUUGUUUUCCUAUUUUCAGGGUUCUGCACCCAGAAUGACUUCAGUGUCUAGAUCAGAGAAUGUUGAAGUGCUAGAAGAGGAACCAGUGAUGUCUAAGACUCAUGAUCAUCAGUUGAAAUCAAGCUCCAACCUUGUGGAAGUAUGUACUAAAUCGUCUGCCUCCCUGGAGAUGACUAAAAGCAUUGCAAAGGAAAGAAUUCACCUUGGCUCUAGCCCUCCAAAAGGGGGAAGUUGUGAUCUCAGCCACCAGGAAGGACUUCAGUCCAGGUCCCUUCAUUUGUCCCCCCAAGAACAAUCUGUCCAUCAAGGCAGAAGGCAAUCCUGGCGGCGAGCAAGUAUGAAAGGAAUGAACCGGCGGAAGUCACUGCCUCCCUUUCACCAGGGCAUCACAGCGCUCAGCAGAUCCAUCAGUGUCAACUUAGCAGAAAGUAAACGACUUGGUGCUCUCCUGCUUUCCAGUUUCCAGUUCUCUAUUCAGAAACUGGAACCUUUCCUAAGGGACACUGAGGGCUUCAGUCUUGAAAGUUUUAGAGCCAAAGCAUCUUCUCUUUCUGAAGAAUUGAAACAUUUUGCAGACAAACUGGAAAGUGAUGGAACUCUACAAAAAUGCUUUGGAAAGUCAAAAGAAAAAGAAUUAGAUUUGUCUCUGGAAGCAUCAGUGGCUGAGAUGAAGGAAUAUAUAGCAAAAUUUUCUUCAGAACGUCAGACUUGGGAUCACCUCUUGCUGCAUUACCAGAAGGAGGCUGAAGAGAUACCGUCCAGGUCAGCUGAAGGCAGAAUUAUUGAAGUUGAAGUGGAACCUACAACAUAUCUUGGGUCUUCCCAGAGUGAAGUUCUAAAUACAAAACCAGACUACCAGAAAAUAUUACAGAACCAAGAAAAGGUCUUUGACUGUAUGGAGUUGGUGAUGGAUGAACUGCAAGGAUCAGUGAAGCAGCUGCAUGCCUUUAUGGAUGAAAGUACCGAGUGUCUCCAGAAGGUGUCAGUACAGCUUGGGAAGAGAAGCAUGCAACAAAUAGAUCCCUCACCAGCUCGAAAACUGCUCAAGCUUCGGCUACGAAAUCCGCCUACCACACAUUGCUCUGGAUCUUGUCAGUGACUUUAUGCAGCUUUUCUGCCAUAAGCACUCAAGAUGAGAGGAAUGGGAAGAGUGUCCCAGCACAAGGCGAAAAGAGACCAGUUGUUGUGUCUUGGAUGGCUGCUUGCAAGCUUUAAGACCUCAGGCAGUAUGCAACGAACCUACAUUCAUUCCUUAUUCAUCUACAAAACUGCCUACCACAUGUUGCUCUGGAUCUUGUCAGUGACCUUAGGCAGCUUUUCUGUAACAAGGCACUCAAGGUGCUUCAUUCAUAUAUUUACUGAGACCCUGUUACAGGUACAGCUUUAGGAACUGGAGAGAGAUCAAAGAACAAAAACAUAUAUGGGACCUCCCCUCAUGGAGCUCAUAGUCUAGUGGGAACUCAGGGAACAAGAAGAGAAAACUCUAGAAAUGAUGUUUUAGCUGAUUUGGGAAGGAUGAAGGAGCUAGAUGGGGCAAGUAUUUCAGGCAAAAGUUGCAGAAUUUUCAAAGACCUUAGGAGAGAGGGAGAGCGGAACAUUCUGGGUCACAAAAAACACAAGCAAAGCAGGAGUGCAGAGCACCAGUGGAAGAGUGACCUGAGACAAAGACAAAUCAAGACAUCGUUAGAAGAUUUUAAGAGGAAGAGAGAUAUGAUCAGAACUUUAUUUUUUAAAAGAUCAUUCUAGUCACGGUGUGAAGAAUAGAUUGAAGCAAGCAAGAUAUGGAUGUGGGAGACCAGUUAAGACUAUAUAGUAGUCUGCCUGAGAAAUGAUGGUUUAUGCUAAGUGUUGGCAGUACAUGAAUGAGGACUGCCUGUAUUGCUCAUUGUGCCUGGAACGUAGUAGACAUGUAAUCUAUUUGUUAAAAGCCUAGCUCUGCCGUUGACUAAUUGACCAAGAAAAGUUACCUCUUAAACCUAUAAAACUGGGAGAAUGUUAGAACCUAUAUCACAAGGAUGUUAUAAGGAUUAGAUUAAAUAAUACAGUAAUAAGUUUAGAACAGUGGUAUCAAUAUGAUGGGGAGUAGGGAAGGGUGUUUAAGACUUGAGCAACUGAAUGGAUGAUAAACAAAUCAAGAUGUAAAUGCCAGUAGUUCAGUUUAGAAGUCAAGUAGACUUGGAUAUACAGGUGGAAAGCUGGGUAGAAAAAUCUGGACUAGAGAUAAAAAUUUUGGAAUUACGAAUGUCUAGUUAUUGAAGCCUUGGGGAUGAAUGAGAUUGUCCAGAGAAUAGUACAAGAAAAAGCCCCAAGAAAAGCCAACAUUUAAGAAUCAAAGGAGUAGUGUUAAUAGCGUACUCUUGGAAACAGUGGUAUAAUGGAAUGCGUGUAGAUUUUAGAAUGAAUCUUCAUCUCUUAUUCUCAGUUUCCUCAUCUGUAAAAUGAGGAUUGAUUAUCUCUCUCCAAAGGUGGUUGUACCUUUCUCCAUUUUAUUUAUAUCGUACUGAAUUAUAAAAAUUUAUUCAAGCUCAAGGAGAAGUGUGUUUUCGUGUCUUCGACAGCUAAGCAGGAUAAAGCAUAGAGAAAUAACAACACUUAUUAAGCUCUAAAUGUUUUACAUGCAUACUGUUAUUCUUACUACAACCUUAUGAGAUAAAUUCUGUUUUUUUCUCCUGAUAGAUGAGAAACUCAGGCAUGGAAAGGCUUAAUAACCUAACCAACAACCUACAGAUAGUGGAGGGUGAAUCAGAACCAGUUUGGCACUCAGUAAAUAUUUGUUAAUGAAUGAACCUAAAUCAUGUAAUAAGGGGCUGUGCUCAAUUAAUGUUAGUUUUUCCCUCUUCCCAAAUUCGGUUCAGGAAUUGUGAUUGAGGCUGAAUCUACAAAGAUGAAUAACACAUCUGUCUUGAGACCAGAAGAACUAGAUGGUGCCCGUCUACCACUAAGGACCAUUCUGAUCAGGGCCACAGUAGAUGGAUCCUGAUAAAAGGGGAGAAAAAUGUGGAACAGAACUCAAAUUCUCAAAAAGUCCAGACUUACUGAACUGGGUGAGACUGGAGGACUCUCUGAGACUAUCAACCUGAGAUACUUCAUAAACCUAGAACCAAAGCUACCUCGUGAGGUCACCUUUUGGCAAAAUAAGAGAUUGGCUCAUAAAAUAAAGAAUUUUACCAGUGAGUUCUGCACACCUUUGAAAAAUCACCUAUAUGAGACAAAAUGGUAACAAUUACUCUAAAGCAAAAAUGAAAGGAUAAGGGGACGGGGAAACUGGAUUACUGGAAGCAAAAAUCCAGAGUGGAAUUGUCAUGGUUUGACUUACGUCCCCCCAAAAAUGUGUAUACCAAUUUGACUGGGCCAUAAUUCCCAGAAUUGUGUGGUUGGCCUCCAUUUUGUGAUUGUAAUUUUAUGUUAAAGACGAUUAG